rnacentral:rRNA from 1 species
CCUAGCAAUAGGUUGAUGGCGACCGGCGCACGGGUGAGUAACACGUAUCCAACCUACCGGUUAUUCCGGGAUAGCCUUUCGAAAGAAAGAUUAAUACCGGAUAGUAUAACGAGAAGGCAUCUUCUUGUUAUUAAAGAGUUUCGAUAACCGAUGGGGAUGCGUUCCAUUAGUUUGUUGGCGGGGUAACGGCCCACCAAGACAUCGAUGGAUAGGGGUUCUGAGAGGAAGGUCCCCCACAUUGGAACUGAGACACGGUCCAA